GAUGAACGCUGGCGGCGUGCCUAAUACAUGCAAGUCGAGCGAACAGAUAAGGAGCUUGCUCCUUUGACGUUAGCGGCGGACGGGUGAGUAACACGUGGAUAACCUACCUAUAAGACUGGGAUAACUUCGGGAAACCGGAGCUAAUACCGGAUAACAUAUUGAACCGCAUGGUUCAAUAGUGAAAGGCGGCUUUGCUGUCACUUAUAGGUGGAUCCGCGCCGUAUUAGCUAGUUGGUAAGGUAACGGCUUACCAAGGCAACGAUACGUAGCCGACCUGAGAGGGUGAUCGGCCACACUGGAACUGAGACACGGUCCAGACUCCUACGGGAGGCAGCAGUAGGGAAUCUUCCGCAAAGGGCGAAAGCCUGACGGAGCAACGCCGCGUGAGUGAUGAAGGUCUUCGGAUCGUAAAACUCUGUUAUCAGGGAAGAACAAAUGUGUAAGUAACUGUGCACAUCUUGACGGUACCUGAUCAGAAAGCCACGGCUAACUACGUG
rnacentral:rRNA from 1 species